rnacentral:rRNA from 1 species
UAGGGAAUAUUGGGCAAUGGUCGGAAGACUGACCCAGCCAUGCCGCGUGAAGGAAGAAGGGUCUACGACUUGUAAACUUCUUUAGCAAGGGAAGAAAAAGUGAGUGCGCUCACAAUUGACGGUACCUUGAGAAUAAGCACCGGCUAACUACGUGCCAGCAGCCGCGGUAAUACGUAGGGUGCAAGCGUUGUCCGGAUUUAUUGGGUUUAAAGGGUGCGCAGGCGGCUUAUUAAGUCAGUGUUGAAAUACAACGGCUCAACCGUUGGCCCGGCACUGAUACUGAUAAGCUUGAGAAUACUGGAGGCAGGCGGAAUUUAUGGUGUAGCGGUGAAAUGCAUAGAUACCAUAAAGAACACCGAUAGCGAAGGCAGCUUGCCGUGGUAUAUCUGACGCUCAGGCA